rnacentral:rRNA from 1 species
UAAGGUGGCAAUAGCGAAGGGGAUCCACCUCUUACCAUUCCGAACAGAGAAGUUAAGCCCUUCAGCGCCGAUGGUACUGCGAAAGUGGGAGAGUAGGUCGCUGCC